UACGUAGGGCGCAAGCGUUAUCCGGAAUUAUUGGGCGUAAAGAGCUCGUAGGCGGUUUGUCGCGUCUGCCGUGAAAGUCCGGGGCUCAACUCCGGAUCUGCGGUGGGUACGGGCAGACUAGAGUGAUGUAGGGGAGACUGGAAUUCCUGGUGUAGCGGUGAAAUGCGCAGAUAUCAGGAGGAACACCGAUGGCGAAGGCAGGUCUCUGGGCAUUAACUGACGCUGAGGAGCGAGAGCAUGGGGAGCGAACAGG
rnacentral:rRNA from 1 species